rnacentral:ncRNA from 1 species
GAGACUAGGGGAGCUUUAACGGCUGAGAGGAAAGGAAUUUUCGACCCUUAACCUGAUUUGGAUAAUGCCAACGAAGGGAAGAUA